rnacentral:rRNA from 1 species
AGAGUUUGAUCCUGGCUCAGGAUGAACGCUAGCUACAGGCUUAACACAUGCAAGUCGAGGGGAAACGAUAUUGGAAGCUUGCUUCCGAUAGGCGUCGACCGGCGCACGGGUGAGUAACGCGUAUCCAACCUGCCCAUCACUUGGGGAUAACCUUGCGAAAGUAAGACUAAUACCCAAUGACGUCUCUAGAGGACAUCUGAAAGAGAUUAAAGAUUUAUCGGUGAUGGAUGGGGAUGCGUCUGAUUAGCUUGUUGGCGGGGUAACGGCCCACCAAGGCGACGAUCAGUAGGGGUUCUGAGAGGAAGGUCCCCCACAUUGGAACUGAGACACGGUCCAAACUCCUACGGGAGGCAGCAGUGAGGAAUAUUGGUCAAUGGACGAGAGUCUGAACCAGCCAAGUAGCGUGCAGGAUGACGGCCCUAUGGGUUGUAAACUGCUUUUAUAAGGGAAUAAAGUGAGUCUCGUGAGACUUUUUGCAUGUACCUUAUGAAUAAGGACCGGCUAAUUCCGUGCCAGCAGCCGCGGUAAUACGGAAGGUCCGGGCGUUAUCCGGAUUUAUUGGGUUUAAAGGGAGCGUAGGCCGGAGAUUAAGCGUGUUGUGAAAUGUAGAUGCUCAACAUCUGAACUGCAGCGCGAACUGGUUUCCUUGAGUACGCACAAAGUGGGCGGAAUUCGUGGUGUAGCGGUGAAAUGCUUAGAUAUCACGAAGAACUCCGAUUGCGAAGGCAGCUCACUGGAGCGCAACUGACGCUGAAGCUCGAAAGUGCGGGUAUCGAACAGGAUUAGAUACCCUGGUAGUCCGCACGGUAAACGAUGGAUGCCCGCUGUUGGUCUGAAUAGGUCAGCGGCCAAGCGAAAGCAUUAAGCAUCCCACCUGGGGAGUACGCCGGCAACGGU